UCAGGACUACUUGGCAAUAAGAGUGAGGUGGAUGUAAGUUCUCAAAACCUUACAAGGCUUUUAAACAUAAACAUUCCUCGUGAAUAGUUUUUUGUGCAUCAUCAUUCUACCAUCAAGUUUCCUUGUAUGAUUGACCGUUUUUCUUUGGAUGUCCAAAACAUCUUUUGCAGUUUAUAUGUGAAAUCAUUAAUGCUAUUAUUAUAAACGCAGCAUGUAUAGCAUUAUAUUAUAUGCAUGCUACCGAAUAAAGCAAAGUACAAAAUCUCUGCAUUGUAAGUAUAAAUUUGCAUUACAAAUUAAUCAACAAUAAAGGCGUAGAACCAUAAAUUCGGGUGGUUCAAAGUAGCAACAAGUCAAACCCAUGCACAACCCAUUUACUAAAUGGGUCGAGAUUCAAACUAGAGCCCAACCUAGAACCCUUGAACUGCAACCCAAGCAGACUUACUAUAUAGUCUAGAAUUUAAGCCUGAGGCCCAACUUGAAACAAAUUAUUAGGCUCAAGUCCGACUCAACUUGACCUAUCUAGGUUUGGGAUUAAAGCUAUCUAUUACUAUUUAUAAGCUUCUUAAAAGUGGGCCCAGUUGGGGACAGAGCAAACUCCUACCUAUCUACUUAACAGAACUCAUUUUAUGGCUGAACCUGACCAACGGUCCAUUAAGUGUGGCUCAAACUUUUCUAAGAAGUGGGUUGGACCAGCUCAACCACUAACAGAUUUGACCCAUUGCCAUGCAUAAAUCUCAGUCUCAUUUUAUUUUAACAUCACAAACAAAAAACUCUUCACUUUAUCAGUUGCCAUGUUAAUGUUGUUCACUUUUUGCACUUCGGAUAUUUGAAUACGAUCGAUUGUUUCUUUCAUUUUGAUGUUCUGCUUCCUGUAGCCAUAUUGGCAUUCACUGCUGUUCUUUAAUAUUUUUGGCAGGAGGUUGUUAUUUUCCCUGAUUAUCUUUCAUAUGGGGAUAGUCUAUUAACUCGGUCUCAAUUAACUUUCUUUACCGAUCACAUCAAGCUUGAGGAUUUGAAUGAAUGUGAAAGCAGCGGAUCUGCUAAUUUAGAAUGGGCAACUGAUAAUCUCAUUCAUAUUGAGUGUCAGCAAAGUGAUAGCGUUGAAACUGCUCUGGUUAAACUUCGUCUACGACCAACUGAUGUAGUGAGAGUCAAUGAACAUGGUACUUCAGGUCGGUGCACCUCCAAAUUUAUUGUUCGCUUUGUUACUUUCUCAUUUGGUGUCCAUUCCACACCACAGCUGGACAUGUAUCGGCAACUAUUGGAUUUAUUUUUUUGAAAAGCUGGCAACUUUUGCAUUCAUUGACCUUCUGUCAUACCGUUCUCUGAAUCACUCAUUUAAGAUUUUAUUCAAGCUGUAUUGAUCCUCCGAAUCUUUUUUU